AUGACGACCGGCGCACGGGUGCGUAACGCGUAUACAACCUACCUUUUAGCGGGGAAUAGCCCAGGGAAACUUGGAUUAAUGCCCCAUAGUAUAUAGACUUCUCCUGAAGUUUAUAUUAAACAUUUAUGGCUAUUAGAUGGGUAUGCGUCCUAUUAGUUAGUUGGUAAGGUAACGGCUUACCAAGGCAGCGAUAGGUAGGGGUCCUGAGAGGGAGAUCCCCCACACUGGUACUGAGACACGGACCAGACUCCUACGGGAGGCAGCAGUGAGGAAUAUUGGACAAUGGGCGAGAGCCUGAUCCAGCCAUGCCGCGUGCAGGAAGACUGCCCUAUGGGUUGUAAACUGCUUUUACAGAGGAAGAACCACCCCCACGUGUGGGGGUUUGACGGUACUCUGCGAAUAAGGAUCGGCUAACUCCGUGCCAGCAGCCGCGGUAAUACGGAGGAUCCAAGCGUUAUCCGGAAUCAUUGGGUUUAAAGGGUCCGUAGGCGGGCAGUUAAGUCAGUGGUGAAAGUCUUCCGCUCAACGGGAGAACUGCCAUUGAUACUGAUUGUCUUGAGUUAUUAUGAAGUGGUUAGAAUGAGUAGUGUAGCGGUGAAAUGCAUAGAUAUUACUCAGAAUACCGAUUGC
rnacentral:rRNA from 1 species